GAUAGCGGCGUCGAGCGGCGGACGGGUGAGUAAUGCCUAGGAAAUUGCCCUGAUGUGGGGGAUAACCAUUGGAAACGAUGGCUAAUACCGCAUGAUGCCUACGGGCCAAAGAGGGGGACCUUCGGGCCUCUCGCGUCAGGAUAUGCCUAGGUGGGAUUAGCUAGUUGGUGAGGUAAGGGCUCACCAAGGCGACGAUCCCUAGCUGGUCUGAGAGGAUGAUCAGCCACACUGGAACUGAGACACGGUCCAGACUCCUACGGGAGGCAGCAGUGGGGAAUAUUGCACAAUGGGCGCAAGCCUGAUGCAGCCAUGCCGCGUGUGUGAAGAAGGCCUUCGGGUUGUAAAGCACUUUCAGUCGUGAGGAAGGUAGUGUAGUUAAUAGCUGCAUUAUUUGACGUUAGCGACAGAAGAAGCACCGGCUAACUCCGUGCCAGCAGCCGCGGUAAUACGGAGGGUGCGAGCGUUAAUCGGAAUUACUGGGCGUAAAGCGCAUGCAGGUGGUUUGUUAAGUCAGAUGUGAAAGCCCGGGGCUCAACCUCGGAAUUGCAUUUGAAACUGGCAG
rnacentral:rRNA from 1 species